rnacentral:rRNA from 1 species
AUUGAACGCUGGCGGCACGCCUAACACAUGCAAGUCGAGCGGCAGCGCGAUAUGUAGCAAUACAUAUUGGCGGCGAGCGGCGGACGGGUGAGGAACACGUAGGAACCUACCCUCGAGUGGGGGAUAACCAAGGGAAGCUUUGGCUAAUACCGCAUGAACUCGAGAGAGCAAAGCUGCCGCAAGGUGGCGCUCGAGGAGGGGCCUGCGUCCGAUUAGCUAGUUGGUGAGGUAACGGCUCACCAAGGCGACGAUCCCUAGCUGGUCUGAGAGGAUGAUCAGCCACACUGGAACUGAGACACGGUCCAGACUCCUACGGGAGGCAGCAGUGGGGAAUAUUGCACAAUGGGGGAAACCCUGAUGCAGCCAUGCCGCGUGUGUGAAGAAGGCCUUCGGGUUGUAAAGCACUUUCAGCGAGGAGGAAGGGGAGUGAGCUAAUACCUCACUUCAUUGACGUUACUCGCAGAAGAAGCACCGGCUAACUCCGUGCCAGCAGCCGCCGUAAGAC